AAUAUGUAGAGGGACCGAAUUCUCGUCCUCUGUAACUCAUCGAGCCGAUUUAACUGGUUCACAUCCUUAACAUUGAAUCCUAGAGCUUUCAGGUUGUUGAGCGCCUCCAACUCUUCGAAUAGCCACGGCGGGCACUUCAAAUCCAAGUCGCAUCCGUGCAAGUCCAGCAUUUGAAGCGCCUCGAGUUCGCGUAUAACACCCGCAGGAAUUAUCUGGACGUUGCUUUUGCGCAGAAUCAAGUACUCGAGGCUAGUCAGAAGUUUAAGCUCCGCAGGCAAUUCCGGGAUUUCAUUGAACGACAAGUUGAGGUAUCGAAGGGCGGUCAGCCGACAUAUAUUUUCCGGGAAACCGUUGAGUCUAUUGUGAGACAAAUCUAGGUAAGCGAGAGCCGCGAGGGAGGGAGAAGCCGCGAGCGAAAUUUCGCUUAGCAGAUUACCUUGCAGAAUCAAGGUUGUAAGUGCGGCAGGGGAGGAACUGCCAGGAGAGUCGUGAAAUGCUUUGAUCCUGUUAUGCAUUAACGACACGCGGUCGGUCUCGCCCCAUACAAUUCCCGUACCUUGCGGCGGCACCUCCGUCAACCCCAGUCCUGCCUUCACAAACCAUUUCUUCUUCCUCUGCCCGCAGUCGCAAGCUAUCCACAGUGCCAUGUCGCGAAUAACGUCGUGCACCCUCACUCCGAAGCCAAGGUCGUCAUUCAAAAGGCAUGCAGAUCGCAGGCUAGCUAUGAGAUCGUAUCCUAUGUUAUACGCGCUCCGCAUGUCGUCGAACCCGUCGAUCACGCCCAACCCCAACAAACAAAGGAUAAGAUCAUUUUUGGCGAUGCAGAAAUCCUCAGGCCACAAGGAACAGCACAACAAACAAUCUCUCAAGGCAUCACUCCGCAGCCUAUCGUAGCUAAACUUUAAGGUGUGGAACAAGCUUUCUUCCUUUGCAUCCGGAUCGACCUCAUCGUGGCGCGCGUCCUGCAGCAGGUCGAUGGCAUGUCCCCAUUCCCUCGAAUCAUCCUUAUCAUACAUGGCUCUUCCGACGGUAAUGAGAGCGAGGGGCAAGCCGCCCAGCUUUCUGGCUAGGUUUCUUGCGAGGGCUUCGACGGCAGGACUAGAGCCGAUCGUGUCUUCGCCGACAGUCUCUCGGAAGAGAAGCCAAGCGUCGUCGCGGUCCAGACAUUCCACUUUGAUGCUGUUCCUCCUGCUUACACCCAUCUGGCCGCAGACUUUCAAAAAUCUCGUUGUCAACACCACCUUUCUUUUAAGCUGCUCGCCUGCGGCCGAAGGCAUCGGAACGCCGACGGCUCCCAGGUCGAGUCGUUCCCACAGAUCGUCCAGCAGCAGGAGAAAAUUCUUUUCGCGCAAAAAGUCUGAGAUGAUUCUGGCCUGGUCCUGCACAUUGUUUAUCGCGGUCAAGCCGAGCGUAUUCACGAUCUCGCUUUGAAUCCGUGCGACGGAGCACGAUCUAGACGCUGUGACGAAGAUCACGACGUCGAAAGAUGUUUGGCGAGCGAACGAGUUGUUGAUGGACUUGAGGAGGUGGGUCUUCCCCACCCCUCCCAUGCCCCAGAUUCCAACCAUCUUCACCGCAUCAUCGUUGAUAAAUUCGAGUGCUUGAUCAAGAUACCGGUUUUCUCUUCCCGCCGCCGACGGGUUGUCAAUCUCCGACUUGUCGUGCCUGUCAGAGUAACUUUCUUAUAAGAUCGAUCGAUCGAUCGAUAAAAUUUCUUUCAGGUAAAAAUAUAUAUAUAUAUAUAUAUAUAUAUAUAUAUAUAUAGUUGGACUGGGCUACUAUUAGUAGCAAAAUUCUAUUGUUGCUAUCAGUUUUUUAGUCUUUGGAUGAACUCUUUUCAUCAUUUCUAACCAUUGGAUUAAAUACUAUAACUCAAUGGAAACCACUCAACCCUAGAAAGAUCACUCAACUCUAACUGACUAAUAUCAUCCUAAUCUUAUAAUUUUUCAUCCAAUGGCUAAAAAUUUGAUAGCAAAAAGAGCGUUUUACUACUAAUAGUAUUUCAGCCUAAUUCUAUAUAUAUAUAUAUAUAAAAUUUGCAUAGAUAGCUUAUAAAAAGAAAUUGCCAACAAAGGUGAGAAAAUAUGCGUGCUAAACAUUGACCAUUUGUUUGCCCAAUACGCAGCUACUAAAGUAUUGUUGAAAUGUCUCCUUCCUAACAAGAGCGUUAUACUUCUGUAUAUCUCAAUUACUUAUUUUUAGGAGAUGAAAUAUUUGAUAUGGAGUAUCUUUCCAAAAAAAAAAAUUAUUGAUUAUAAUUACAAUAUGAUAAAUUCCUUGGCAGGAAAGGAAUGGACUAAUUUUUUAUAAUAAAAAAAUUAAUUUGUACUGGCUGCUGCGUAAGAUUACAAAGCCUUCGGAAAGCGUACAGAAUUCACUAAUUUUUUGGAUGUAGUUUAAUAUGUUUUUUUUAUUUUUUAUUUUUAUUUUUCUGUGGUUUUGUUACCGCAACUCUGUAACUACGUUUAUGUUCUUAUUAAAUUAAACGACAGUAUACUAUUUUUUUUUUCCAAAAAAAAAAAAACAAGUAAUCAAAAAAUGUAUAUAUAUAUAAAUAUAUAAAUAUAUAUACCUCCCGGCCGAAACGUUGACGACCUGCUGGAACAGUACUCCACGGUCGAACUCCCGCCUGGCGUCCGGAAUCAUCUUAGCGGCGGUCUUGCCAGCCGCGUAGGUCGACCAGAAUUCGACAGAGCAGCCUCCGAGACACCGCGUCCGCUCGGCGUACCUUCUGUGGAGCGCCUCCGCUCGCGCUACGAUGCUGUCCGCCCCCUGCAGCCACUCGCUCACUUCGUUCGUCGCAGUGCCGCCGGUUGUUCUGCAGCCGGACCGGAUCCUCUCGUCUACAUCCUUCCUCCUGGCGGCCAGCUCGGCGGCGACAUUCUUGAGCUCGUCCAAAUUGUCCUCCACUUUAAGAAGAUACGUCAGAUGCUCCGUGACGAGGCUCACCAGCGGAGAGAUCGCCGCAUCAACAACCUUACAGAUGCACUCCGCCAUGCAUAUAUCGAUUGCGAGAUAGUAUAGAAUCUAUAGAAUCUCUAGAUAGAUCGAGAUAAGAAUUAAUGCAGCAGUAGAAAUUAAGAAGAGAACGAAGAGACGAGGGGAGAGGGGAGCGAUUGUUCUACUCCACAACUACAUCGGGCUGGGUAAUUAAGCAAAUGGUCUAUCUAAGCUACAAUUAUUUAUUUACGCAACUUGGUACCAUACUAAUAGUAUUAUAUAUGAUAAAUUAAUGUUUAUUCUAUUUUUUUAUUUAUUAUGACAGCAAGCUAGUGAGUGAUGCUUAAUUAAUUUGUGUUCCGGCCGGCUGCACAUGCGUAAGUCCACUACUGUACAAACUGAUAUGCACGCCAUCUGUACCUAAUCUGGACGUGCUACUAUAAUAUUAGCGAUUCCUGUUUUUCCGUUUAUUUGAAUAACAUAUUACAGAUUCGUUUGGAUUAUCUCUUAAUAGUUUUUUUUUUUUGAAAAAAAAGUUAGCACGCUACCCGCUUUAUUCAUUGGAAGGAUGAAUUAGACUACAAGGGUGAGGCAACACAGACCUCGAUCGGGGCAAACAAAAAAAAAAAAAAAAUAUAUAUAUAUAUAUAUAUAAUAUACGGGUAGACAAUACUUGGUCCCAAGAUUUCGUUAGCUGCUUAAUCUUGUGGGCUGCAAGGAUGGCAUCCGGUCGGAUAUUCUUAAGGACCACACCAUUCCUAACCUCCCAAAUAAUCUACCGGUAAGCUAUCAAACCAGAUGCUUACUUGUGGUCUUCGUCAGCUACUUGGUCACAAGACUUCGUCAGCGGCUUAUCUCUUAAUAGUUUAUUAUAGUUUAUUCAUUGUACGUUAAGAAGUCUUUUUUGUUUGGUGGGGGUUCCUAAUUUUUUUAUUUUUCUGCUAUUGGGUUCCUAAACUUUAUAUUUUAUUUUGAUUAGAUCUCAAUUGUCUAAAUUCUCAUUAAGUUAAUUAUUUUUUAAUAAAUUUUAGUUAUAUAAAAGGCAUAAAAUAUGCUAGCUUAUUAAACUCUUAAAGAUAAGCAUAAGCAAAGCAUUCAGAUUUUGAAGUUAAAAGAGUCUCAAAUCAAAUAAACUAAAAGAUCAACGUAUAACAAAACUAAUUUUUUAAAAAUAAAUGGGUAACUAUAUCUAAAUUGAUGAUAGUUAAGAUAAGUUCUACAUAUUUUAUAUGAUAACUAUAUUUUUAAAUUAAUGAUUGAUAAUUGCAUUUAAAAAAAAAAAAAAAAGAUUUGAUGUAAAUAUUCAAAAAGAUUUAAGUUACAAAAUUUGGGAGGAAGAUGGCUUUUGCCAGUCCCAUUCUCCCACUGUCCCUAGUCCCUACCAAUCCAAAACAUAAAAUAAAAGUAAAAAUACCAAUUAGCAUAUAAUCAAAUUAUGCAGAGUUAAAAAAGCAAAAAAACAAAAUCAGUCCUAAAUAAAAUAUUGCUUCUGUUUUUGGACCGCUCGUAGCCACGAUCUAGAACACGGGUCACAAAACGGUAAUAAGGGAACGUAAAAGUAGAGUAACUUAUGCAAUUCAAUUUAUAGAUGUUAUCAUCCUUAUUUUUCACAAACCCUCAAUUUCAACCCAGAUAAAUAAAAGGGAAAAAAAAUUGUAAUGUACACCCUUUACAAACUCGAGCAAUAACAUACUUCAUAAACCAUGAAGGAUUUUCUUUUUCUUUUCUUUUUCUUUACGAGGCCAACGUCGUCGACGCUCAACUAUCAUGCACGCAGGAUAGCACAUCUCUGUAAUCUCUAGAGAUGGUGAAGGAGUCGUAGACUUUUCCGUCGCUGCUCUUCUUGUACUCGAAGAGUAGCGAGGAGUGGUCGAAGGCGGUGAGCUUCACGAAACCGUAGUCCUCGUCUCUGUAGAUGCUCCAGUUCGGAGUGGCGGUGGUGAAGUCCGAUAAGUGGCUGCCGCCGCCGCCCACCACCACGUGGAUCGUCCCGUUCAUAGUGCCCGAGUAGUGUGACUUCUCACUGCUCGCACACUGGUUCUGUUGAGCAUAUACAUACAUCCAUAAGGUUGUUAGAAAGAUGAAACCAUGAAAUGAGAUUAAUAUCAAGCUCUACAAAACUGGCUGUGUUUUAGAUAUAGCGUCUUGCAAAGUUUAAUAUAGCACAAUGUCCUUGAAUGUUAACCUAUUUACGUAUCCUUUUUCUCAAAAAAAAAAACCUAUUUACGUAUCUUUAAGUACAUUGCGUCGUAAGAUAGAAGUAUUUUAACAAAAAACACGCAUAUGGAUUUGAAAUAACCAUCAAAGUGGAACUUAAGUAAUCACACAGAAGUGUGUUAUUGGUUUUUUUUUUUUUUGAGAAAGAGGUAGGCGAGCUACCUGCUUCAUUCAUUGAUAAGUGAACUAGGCAAACAGUGUGGAAGCAGCCAGGGCUUCCGGGGCAAAAGAAAAGCAAAAAGAGGAACAAAACAAGAAAAGAACAAAUCAGCGAAAAUAAAUAGCAAGAAAAAGCUAAAGGAAAACCAAAAAAAAGGAAAAAGGAGAAAGGAUUAAAAGCGGUGGUGCGCGGAGGGUAACGUCAGAGAAUUAGACCAUAGAUUUGUAAGAAGAAAAGCCCGCUCCAGAGCUCGGGUGGCAUUAGGAGACGCUGUUCUGAAAAUGAGAUUGUUUCUUUCCGUCCAGACAACCCACCAAGUAGCCGCCAGGGAGGUUAAGGCCUUGGUUCUUUGAACUGUGCCGGUAAUUGUUGUUGAAGAGGUCCAAAGUUUCCGGACACAGUCGGUAUCGUCGGCGUGUACCCCCGCCUUAAAGAGUAAGAAUCGCGUAAAGAUGCAGUUGGAGAAGAGAUGAUCGCAGGUUUCCAAGGCAAAAGCACAGUAAAUGCAGUGGUCGUCGAUCUGCAUCCCACGAGUAAGCAGUCUGUCAGCGGUGGGUAGUCUCUUACGGAGUAAGAUCCACAAGAAUACUUUGAUUUUGGUCGGGAUUUUUAAGGUCCAUAUAUGAUGGAACACCGUGUCCUUGAUACCAGUGUUGUCAAUGAACGUGUAGAGGGAUUUGACGGAGAAUAAUUGGUUAGGGGCCCACCUCCAACUGGGUUGGUCCGGGCAGUUCGAGGGGCAGGAGCUAAGGAGCAGUUCUUUGAAUUGUGCGAAUUGUGUACGGUUGGUGUUGGGUCGGCGCGUCGCGAAACCUCUGCAGAUAAAGUGCCAUCUCCAUCCGUUAGAGCUCCAACAUUGCGAAACCCUGACCUCCUUAUUCCUAAUGUUAGCGAAGAUGGUUGGGAAUAAGGUGCUUAGCGGGGCUUCUCCAAUCCAGAUAUCUGUCCACAUCCUGAUGGUGGUACCGUCACCUAGGUUGAAAGAUAAUCCGCACUUGAACAAAUGUCUGCAGCGGAGAACGCUUUUCCACCACUGGGAGAACGGGACAAAGGCUGAACCCUCACGCAACGGCCUACGUCUAGUGUAAUAGAGGCAUCUAAUCAAUUUGCACCAGAGUAGGUGUGGCUUAUGAAAGAAGCGCCACCACCAUUUAGAUAGGAGGGCCUAGUUCAUGGACUCCAAAUCUUUGAUCCCUAGCCCGCCAUCGUCCUUGUUUCUGCAUACGGUUCUCCAAUUGACGAGGCAGGCGCCUCCGGAAACAACAGAGCGUCCUCUCCAGAAGAAGGCUCUUCUCAAAGAUUCAAUACGGUGCAGAACCCAACGUGGGGCUUUAAAGGUGGAGAGGUAGAAGAGAGGCAGGCUAGUAAGGACAGAAUUGACCAGGGUCAGUCUUCCUCCUUGUGAGUGGAGUUUAGCUUUCCAACCAUUGAUUCUUGCAUCGAUACGAUUGACUAUCUGAUCCCAGUCUUCCUUUCGAAUCUGCUUGUUGUAGAGAGGGAUGCCCAGGUAUCGAAACGGUAGGCUUCCAGCUUUGCAUCCUAAGAUGGAAGCUAGUCUAACACCUUUACUUGGGUUGGGGCCAAGGUAAUAAAGUUCCGAUUUGUCCUUGUUGAUCCUGAGCCCAGAGACCCAUUCGAACAGUUUCAAGAUAAAUAGAAGGUUACGUAUAAUGCGUUUCGUGGGCUCGCAAAAGAAAAUAGUGUCGUCAGCGUAUUGGAUGAGUGUGGUCUCGCAUUCCGGUGUCGGCCCGAUGCCGACAAUUUGGUUGUUCCCCCUAGCUACUUCCGUCAUCCUAGCUAGGCAGUCAACCACUAGUAGAAAAAGGUAGGGGGAGAGGGGGUCCCCCUGCCGAAGGCCCUUUCUAGCUUUAAGCCAAGGGGUAGGUGAAUUGUUUACGAGGAUGGCCAAUUUAGAAGUGUGUUAUUGUAAAGUUAGUGAAUCAAUGCUUUUGGUGCUUUGAUUACACCUUAUCAUUCCUAUUUGAUUAACAUACCCUGAUUACGUGUUAUGCCCGGAAACUCUUCUCUUCCUAUUAGUAAUUUUCGUGCUUUAAUUUCACCGCUUUCUUUCUUUUUCUCACGUUUUUCUAUAUUUCUACAGGUAAAAGCAGAGAAUGGUUCACCGCUUUUAUUCUUUUUCUACUCCUAGGGCUUGUUUGGUUCAUCCAUUUUGGAUAUGGAAUGGAAAUCAGUUUGAUCAAAUCCGAUUAAUUUUGUUUGGUUCGUAGGAAUCUAUUUGGAAUUCCUAUUCCGAACUGAAAUAGAAAUGCCCCAUUAGCCUUCAACUUGAUUCCGAUUUUCUAGCCCGGAAUGUGAUUUCAUUCCAGCAGCCCACUAAAUUCUCGAGACCCAUGUGACCAUCUCACUCUCCUUCUCUUCACCCCUCUCUCAUCAAAAAAAAAAAGAAAAGAGAACCUAUCAUCUCUCAAAACUUUAUCCCUAACCCACAUGAAUAAAAGUUUUUAAAAAUAAAUUUGAUACUUUUUUUGAAAAAUUUAUUAGAGAAUAGUAUUAUAUUUUUCAUAAAUUUUAAAUAAUAUAAACUUAUAUUUGAGAGUAAAAUUAGUAUUAUAGUAUUCAAUAAUUUUUUUAGUUUAUACGAACCAAACAAUGAAAUGUGAAUAACCGAUUCCAAUUUCCAAUCUACAAAUGAACCAAACGUCUUGGGGGAGUGAGCCAAUUCAAUUACCAUUUCAAUUUAUUUUCAUUCCAUUAUUCAUUCCAAUUCCACCCUUGAACCAAACAAACCCUUAAUGAGAAGUUAUAAAUACGGUGAAUCAUUCAUCACAUUUAGAAAUCUAUUUUUAUAAUUAUUUUUUAAAAAAAUUAUUUUUAUAAUUCUAAAAAUUGAUAGGAUUAUUUAUAAAAAAAAAAAUUCAAUGUAGGUUCAGUACCUUGGUAGGAACCAACUUGUUUCAACUCACUCCGAUUAAAGCGUGAAUUAGUCUUGAGCCUGAAUUUUGCAUCAGGUAAAUCGCAAAACCGUUGCCUUGGACUAGCAUUUCUGACAAUGAUCGAAUGCUCCUUUAUCCCAAUUCAUUUUGGCCCCCAACCAUUUAACGUUUGCAAUCUAGUCCCUAAAGUUUAGUAUUUGUUUCAAGUCUCUACCACUUAAAAGCUUGUUAUAUUUGACCACUACAACAGAAUUAGGUUAUAGCGACACAUGUUUGGGACACUUUUGAGUAAGUGUCCCAUUUAUGCUAAAACUUAAAAACACAUUACUGAUGCCUAAAUAUAAAGCCCAAUCCAACCAAAAAUAAAAGAUUACUCUACUCAACCCACCACACCCAGUCUAUUUGGCCUGAUUACAAACAGAAAAGAAAAAAAAAAAAUCAAUUACCAUCUUUUCUUCUCUCUUCACUUAAUCCACUGAAAUUCUAGAUGAAGAGCCUUUACUGUCGUCCUCCUCCGCCACCGCAACCAACGAGAUAGAGUUUCGGCGAUUAGUAAAUGCUUAAAUAAGUGUUGGUAAAUUAGUAGCACUCUUUUAGGUUAUAGCGACACUCUUUAACUGUCACUAUAUACCUAGCGACCCCACAUAUAGCAACACUUUUUAAAAGUGUCGGUAAUUUUAGCUAGCAGCAUUUUUUUGACAUGUACCUAUAUUUAAAAGUGUCGCUAUAUACCAUUUUUGUUGUACAUGGGCAAGGUUUGGUGCCGACGUGACGAACUCUAUUUAGUGCUUUUUAGUGUUGAUUUGAGUAUUUAUUAGAGUUAACAUACGAUUUAUUUAGAAUAUUUUAAUUGUUUUUCUCUCUAAAGAAGUUGAAGGUUGUUGGACCUCUUAAUCUGUCGCAGCACCCUGUUUGUCCCACCGGUGGAGAAAAGAAAGGGGUUGAUGUCAUUUGUUUCCUCCCGUCCACCCUUAAUUACGAAGAAGCUCUCCAAAAGUUUUUAAUUUUAAAACACUCCUUUAAUUAAUAGAAAUUAUUAGAAAUACCCAUAUUGCUAACAUUAUUGUAAAAAAUGUGACUACAUAGUUAUUUUACCCCGGAUUGAGGUAGGCUACUAUGAAUAGUAUGUGAAUAGUAUUUAGCACUAAGGGGUGCUAGACUAUUAUGAAAGGACCGUUUGGUUGCAUGUAGUUGUAACUGUAUGCAAAUACAAAUUCGAUAUUUGGUCUGAUGUAUUUAACUUUAACUGCUGCAGUUGAAACUACAGAAGGAUGCCCAAUUGUAGCAGUUCGAACUACGCCCAAAUUGGUCAUAGUUUCAACUGUAACAGUCGGAGAGAAUAGUUUUACAUAAAAGAUAUGCUUAUCUGCUCAAUUAUUUUUUAGACAAAAAUUAUUAUUUUUUUUUACAUUGGAGGUAAUUUCAGCAUUAUAUAUAUAAAAUAAUAAAAUUUUAAAAAUUAUUUUUCAACUACAUGUAACUAAAUAAAUUAUUUAUACUUGCAAUACUUUCUACUAUAUCCAACUAAACAUGAUAUAUAUAGUUAUAACUAUUGUGUUUUCAACUGCAUAUAUUUUUAACAACUACAUUACAUUUAUAAUUAUAUCUGACGAAACAGCACAAUAGUAUGUGAAUAGUAUUUAGCACCAAGGGGUUAACUUAGGCAUUUAUUAGUGGUUGAAAUGAAUGCUAAUAAACGAGUUUAACUAAUUUUGGCUACUCGACUGGUUUGGGUCAAAUAAAUUAUUAGAGCCAGUCAAAAAAAUUAUUAGAGAGUUAGUGAGCUGGAUCGUUACACAAAUAAAGUCAUUAAUUGGAUUACAUGAAGACAAUUCAUACACUUGCAUUAAUUUUCAACUCACACCAACAAUAAUUGAGAAAAAACACGCAAGUAGAUGUGGCACAGGAGGAUCACUAAAACGAAACACACAACUAGCCCAGUAGAUCGGAGAAACUACUAUCUUAAAAGAAAGAAAGGUUUAAGGGAAGAUCUGUGGACGUCGUCCUCCCAUUCUAUUCCUUCCCACCAUCUUUUGUCGCCUCUGAUAAACUUCAAGUUUUUGGGGAUGGUAUCGGCGCGGAAAGGCAGCUUCGUAAGCUUCCGACACAUUCUAACCUCAAAUUGUUCCAAACAUGGAAAGGUGUAUGCAGGAUCACACACACAUUGCAGCGCCGGAAGGUCGGCCAGACUUAUCCUUUUGAGGGAAGGGAAGGUAGGCGCCGCCGCGACUUCUCCUUUACCGUCAUCGUUCUGUGUACUAGAAAUGAGCUGCAUCACGCUUGUGCACGUGCGCACGGCUAGUACGCGAAGGCACGGGAGAUGCACGAUCCAAGAAACAUCCUUCAUGCUGUAGCAAAAACUGAAAUCCAAAAUACAGAGCCUCGGGAAAACCUCCCUGGCUACCAAUCGGUCCAACACGAUGUUCAAUCUCGGCGUCGCGUGGAAGGAUAGCUUCUCCAGAUUGUGGAAACACGGGUUGCGAUUUGAAUGGCCGUCGUCGAAUACUAUCUCCUCUAUAGUGGUGCUGCCGGCAAUCUCCAUAUCGAUCAAGCUGUUUUGUAUUCGAGAGCUGCCGAGAGGAGUGGCCAGCAAGGGGAGAGUCAUUUGUUCCAAGUGAAAUAUGUAGAGGGACCGAAUUCGCGUCCUCCGUAACUCAUCGAGCCGAUUCAACUGGUUCGCAUCCUUAACAUUGAAUCCUAGAGCCUUCAGGUUAUUGAGCGUCUCCAACUCUUCGAAUAGCGACGGCGGGUACUUCAAAUCCACGCUGGAGUGGCAUCCGCGCAAGUCCAGCAUCUGAAGCGCCUCGAGUUCGCGUAUAACACCUGCAGGAAUUA
rnacentral:lncRNA from 1 species